CAAGUCGUGGGGCAGCAUGUCCCGUAGCAAUACGGGAUGAUGGCGACCGGCAAACGGGUGCGGAACACGUACACAACCUUCCUUUUAGUGGGGAAUAGCCCGGGGAAACCCGGAUUAAUACCCCGUAAUAUAAUAGAGUGGCAUCACUUUAUUAUUAUAGCAGCAAUGCGCUUAAAGAUGGGUGUGCGACUGAUUAGGCAGUUGGCGGGGUAACGGCCCACCAAACCUACGAUCAGUAACUGGUGUGAGAGCACGACCAGUCACACGGGCACUGAGACACGGGCCCGACUCCUACGGGAGGCAGCAGUAAGGAAUAUUGGUCAAUGGACGCAAGUCUGAACCAGCCAUGCCGCGUGGAGGAUGAAGGUCCUCUGGAUUGUAAACUUCUUUUAUCUGGGAAGAAAUCCACGAAUUCUUUUGUGGUUGACGGUACCAGAUGAAUAAGCACCGGCUAACUCCGUGCCAGCAGCCGCGGUAAUACGGAGGGUGCAAGCGUUAUCCGGAUUCACUGGGUUUAAAGGGUGCGUAGGUGGGCAGGUAAGUCAGUGGUGAAAUCUCCGGGCUUAACUCGGAAACUGCCAUUGAUACUAUCUGUCUUGAAUACCGUGGAGGUCAGCGGAAUAUGUCAUGUAGCGGUGAAAUGCUUAGAUAUGACAUAGAACACCAAUUGCGAAGGCAGCUGGCUACACGAAUAUUGACACUGAUGCACGAAAGCGUGGGGAUCAAACAGGAUUAGAUACCCUGGUAGUCCACGCCCUAAACGAUGGAUACUCGACAUACGCGAUAUACUGUGUGUGUCUGAGCGAAAGCAUUAAGUAUCCCACCUGGGAAGUACGAUCGCAAGAUUGAAACUC
rnacentral:rRNA from 1 species